rnacentral:rRNA from 1 species
AGUGAACGCUGGCGGUAGGCCUAACACAUGCAAGUCGAACGGCAGCACAGUAAGAGCUUGCUCUUACGGGUGGCGAGUGGCGGACGGGUGAGGAAUACAUCGGAAUCUACUUUUUCGUGGGGGAUCACGUAGGGAAACUUACGCUAAUACCGCAUACGACCUACGGGUGAAAGCAGGGGAUCUUCAGACCUUGCGCGAUUGAAUGAGCCGAUGUCGGAUUAGCUAGUUGGCGGGGUAAAGGCCCACCAAGGCGACGAUCCGUAGCUGGUCUGAGAGGAUGGUAGGCGACACGGGAACUGAGACACGGUCCAGACUCCUACGGGAGGCAGCAGUGGGGAAUGUUGGACAGUGGGCGCGAGCCUGAUCCAGCCAUACCGCGUGGGAGACGAAGGCCUUCGGGUUGUAAAGCCCGUUUGUUGGGAAAGAAAAGCAGCAGGUUAAGACCACGCGGGUCUGACGGUACCCAAAGAAGAAGCACCGGCUAACUUCGUG